rnacentral:rRNA from 1 species
CGAAUGCUGACAUAAGUAACGAUAAAGCGGGUGAAAAGCCCGCUCGCCGGAAGACCAAGGGUUCCUGUCCAACGUUAAUCGGGGCAGGGUGAGUCGACCCCUAAGGCGAGGCCGAAAGGCGUAGUCGAUGGGAAACAGGUUAAUAUUCCUGUACUUGGUGUUACUGCGAAGGGGGGACGGAGAAGGCUAUGUUGGCCGGGCGACGGUUGUCCCGGUUUAAGCGUGUAGGCUGGUUUUCCAGGCAAAUCCGGAAAAUCAAGGCUGAGGCGUGAUGACGAGGCACUACGGUGCUGAAGCAACAAAUGCCCUGCUUCCAGGAAAAGCCUCUAAGCAUCAGGUAACAUCAAAUCGUACCCCAAACCGACACAGGUGGUCAGGUAGAGAAUACCAAGGCGCUUGAGAGAACUCGGGUGAAGGAACUAGGCAAAAUGGUGCCGUAACUUCGGGAGAAGGCACGCUGAUAUGUAGGUGAGGUCCCUCGCGGAUGGAGCUGAAAUCAGUCGAAGAUACCAGCUGGCUGCAACUGUUUAUUAAAAACACAGCACUGUGCAAACACGAAAGUGGACGUAUACGGUGUGACGCCUGCCCGGUGCCGGAAGGUUAAUUGAUGGGGUUAGCGGUAACGCGAAGCUCUUGAUCGAAGCCCCGGUAAACGGCGGCCGUAACUAUAACGGUCCUAAGGUAGCGAAAUUCCUUGUCGGGUAAGUUCCGACCUGCACGAAUGGCGUAAUGAUGGCCAGGCUGUCUCCACCCGAGACUCAGUGAAAUUGAACUCGCUGUGAAGAUGCAGUGUACCCGCGGCAAGACGGAAAGACCCCGUGAACCUUUACUAUAGCUUGACACUGAACAUUGAGCCUUGAUGUGUAGGAUAGGUGGGAGGCUUUGAAGUGUGGACGCCAGUCUGCAUGGAGCCGACCUUGAAAUACCACCCUUUAAUGUUUGAUGUUCUAACGUUGACCCGUAAUCCGGGUUGCGGACAGUGUCUGGUGGGUAGUUUGACUGGGGCGGUCUCCUCCUAAAGAGUAACGGAGGAGCACGAAGGUUGGCUAAUCCUGGUCGGACAUCAGGAGGUUAGUGCAAUGGCAUAAGCCAGCUUGACUGCGAGCGUGACGGCGCGAGCAGGUGCGAAAGCAGGUCAUAGUGAUCCGGUGGUUCUGAAUGGAAGGGCCAUCGCUCAACGGAUAAAAGGUACUCCGGGGAUAACAGGCUGAUACCGCCCAAGAGUUCAUAUCGACGGCGGUGUUUGGCACCUCGAUGUCGGCUCAUCACAUCCUGGGGCUGAAGUAGGUCCCAAGGGUAUGGCUGUUCGCCAUUUAAAGUGGUACGCGAGCUGGGUUUAGAACGUCGUGAGACAGUUCGGUCCCUAUCUGCCGUGGGCGCUGGAGAACUGAGGGGGGCUGCUCCUAGUACGAGAGGACCGGAGUGGACGCAUCACUGGUGUUCGGGUUGUCAUGCCAAUGGCAC